GAUGAACGCUGGCGGCGUGCCUAAUACAUGCAAGUCGAGCGAACGGACGAGAAGCUUGCUUCUCUGAUGUUAGCGGCGGACGGGUGAGUAACACGUGGAUAACCUACCUAUAAGACUGGGAUAACUUCGGGAAACCGGAGCUAAUACCGGAUAAUAUUUUGAACCGCAUGGUUCAAAAGUGAAAGACGGUCUUGCUGUCACUUAUAGAUGGAUCCGCGCUGCAUUAGCUAGUUGGUAAGGUAACGGCUUACCAAGGCAACGAUGCAUAGCCGACCUGAGAGGGUGAUCUGCCACACUGGAACUGAGACACGGUCCAGACUCCUACGGGAGGCAGCAGUAGGGAAUCUUCCGCAAUGGGCGAAAUCCUGACGGAGCAACGCCGCGUGAGUGAUGAAGGUCUUCGGAUCGUAAAACUCUGUUAUUAGGGAAGAACAUAUGUGUAAGUAACUGUGCACAUCUUGACGGUACCUAAUCAGAAAGCCACGGCUAACUACGUG
rnacentral:rRNA from 1 species